rnacentral:rRNA from 1 species
GCAACUCGAGUGCAUGAAGCUGGAAUCGCUAGUAAUCGCGAAUCAGAAUGUCGCGGUGAAUACGUUCCCGGGUCUUGUACACACCGCCCGUCACACCAUGGGAGCCGACAACGCCCGAAGUCAGUGACCUAACCGAGAGGGAGGAGCUGCCGAAGGCGGGGUUGGUAACUGGGGUGAAGUCGUAACAAGGUAUC